rnacentral:rRNA from 1 species
CAGUACCGCGGGAAUACGAAGGGGGCUAGCGUUGUUCGGAAUUACUGGGCGUAAAGCGCACGUAGGCGGAUUUUUAAGUCAGGGGUGAAAUCCCGAGGCUCAACCUCGGAACUGCCUUUGAUACUGGAGAUCUUGAGUUCGGAAGAGGUUGGUGGAACAGCUAGUGUAGAGGUGAAAUUCGUAGAUAUUAGCUAGAACACCAGUGGCGAAGGCGGCCAACUGGUCCGAUACUGACGCUGAGGUGCGAAAGCGUGGGGAGCAAACAGGAUUAGAUACCCCAGUAGUCCCUGUCUCUUAUACA